rnacentral:lncRNA from 1 species
AAAAUGUCAAAAGUUAUGUUUCAAACAACGUGGGCCUUCAAAACUACAUGCACACCGGUAAAUUUCUUUAAGGAUCAAAGAACAAUCGAAAACAAUUAUUUCCUUGGAUUCCACUAGUAAAAAAAAUUGCCUCGUUUUAUAAAAACAGGUUGAUGAAUUGGAAGAACAUCCAAAUAAAAAAAAGCAUGCAAAAUGCUAGUAUUAUCAGUAACUGCAAAUAAAAAAAGAUAACAAAAAUUUACAGGAUCAUCGAGAAGAGUAGAUACUGAUAAUAUUGAGAUCCACAGCACUCAACAACAGUCUUGGAUUUAUUUAGCCAUUUGCUUAACUUACUGUCUCAACAAUAUUGUUGUUUGGCAUCGCCAUAAAUAUAUGACCUAGAAGUAAAAUUCGUGUUGUCGAAACAAUUCCAAUCGGUUCACUUUUCUCUUUCAAAAGUAUAUCGAAGUAGGAAUGAUGUACUCCCAACUGCGGAUGGAAAAAGUUCUUUAUCGAUUUUAAUAUCUGGUGUUGUGGAAAAAAACGAAAUACGAUCAAAAUUGAGAAAAUUAAGAAAGAAUAUGAAUAUGGUUUUACUUAUUUUACUACCCAUGAUGUCGUUGGUUAAAAACAUGAUGUUAAGGGUGAACCGCAGCAUAUUGGUCGUUUUUAAUUAAGGAAUUGAAUGACUUUCAAAGAUGCACAGUAAUCCUUCCUUAAUCACCAUUUUAGAUUUAUUAAUUUCAACAUACGCUCUCCAUGUACUUGGAAUCGAAUUGAGAACUUGUUAUGCCACAAAUGAAUAUCUUUUUAUUGAGUAACAUCGUUAAUAAAGCAAAUGCUUCACGGUAUUUUUUGAAAUCUUUGACAGUAUUUGUUCAGCUGGGAUGGAUGAUAAUUUGACGAGGCACAUUCCUUAUACGCAAACGAAAGAUACAA